UAAGAGAGGAGAGUGAGGGGU
rnacentral:misc_RNA from 1 species